GAAGCGUGUAAAAGCAACAUUCACUAAACGUUGGCAUUAAAUUGCGUGAGUAAACGAAUAUUGUCGGACAAAAGUUUAUGAUUUGCCGUAUGCCUAAAUAGUUUCGUUUUGACUUGAUUCGACAGUUGGCUGUGCAAUUUUAUCAAGUUCAGUAUCAGGGCACGCUUAAGCAAAGCAAGUUGCAGUGCCAUGUGUUAUUAUGCUGUGUGCUGCUGCUGCUAAUCGCGUUGCCUGCACAAUACCCUUAAACACAUGUAAAUUUCGUUUGAAAAAACGACCUAUACUAUAAUCAACCACCACAGCAACUGUAAGCGUGCUUCUCCCUAUUAUUAAAUCGCUGUUUUGUUAAAAGGAAAAAAGAAAAAGAAAAAAAGGAAAACAAUCAAAUACUGUUUGUAGUGAUCAUAAUUGGCUCUGCGUUAAAUUGUGCAAAUAAAACCAAAGAAAACAAAUUUGUUGUCAAUAAAUAAACGAAGACAUUGUUUUAACGGUGUUGUCUUAUGAAGUAAUGGCUGUUUUGCGUAAUGUCGAUUAGACACGGCCGAUGGAAUGAUUAAACUCAGCUUAACUUCUUCUUCAUUCUCCACAAAGCGAAAAUAAAUACCGAAAAAUCUAGCCAUCGAUUAUAGUUUAAUGGACGACUGCAUAACUCACCAUUAAUGAUCGCGAAUUGAACAAAUACUGGCAAAAGUAAAAUUUCUUUUCCGUGUAUAGCGACGGUUAACUGUUCAAUCAAUGCAGUGGCACGUUGCCUGUCGUAAUCGAUUGAAAUCUUAAUUGAACGUACAUCCAUAGUGACUAGCCAAUUAUAGCAAGCCGUGAAAGGGCUAAGUCACGAAAACAGCGUGUGAUGCACACACACUUCCCUUCACCGCAUUCUUUCCCUAUGUCAUGCAUAUGAUUUUGUGAGUUUUUUAAUAAGCGUAUGUGCGAAUU